rnacentral:rRNA from 1 species
GAGUUUGAUCGUGGCUCAAGAUUGAACGCUGGCGGCAUGCCUUACACAUGCAAGUCGAAACGGCAGCAUGAUCUAGCUUGCUAGAUUGAUGGCGAGUGGCGAACGGGUGAGUAAUACAUCGGAACGUGCCCUGUAGUGGGGAUAACUAGUCGAAAGAUUAGCUAAUACCGCAAUACGACCUGAGGGUGAAAGUGGGGGACCGCAAGGCCUCAUGCUAUAGGAGCGGCCGAUGUCUGAUUAGCUAGUUGGUGGGUAAAGGCCCACCAAGGCGACGAUCAGUAGCUGGUCUGAGAGGACGAUCAGCCACACUGGGACUGAGACACGGCCCAGACUCUACGGGAGGCAGCAGUGGGGAAUUUGGACAAUGGGCGAAGACCUGAUCCAGCAAUG